rnacentral:rRNA from 1 species
GACAGAGGGGGCAAGCGUUGUCCGGAUUGACUGGGCGUACAGCGCGCGCAGGCGGCUUGGUAUGUGCCAUGUGACACUCCACGGCUCAACCGUGGGCGGACUUGGUAGACAGCUGAGCUGGAGGCAGGGAGAGGGUCGUGGAAUGCCCGGUGGAGCGGUGAAAUGCGUAGAGAUCGGGCGGAACACCAGCGGCGAAGGCGGCGACCUGGCCCUGAACUGACGCUGAGGCGCGAGAGCGUGGGGAGCGAACGGG